rnacentral:rRNA from 1 species
AGUGAACGCUGGCGGUAGGCCUAACACAUGCAAGUCGAACGGCAGCACAGUAAGAGCUUGCUCUUACGGGUGGCGAGUGGCGGACGGGUGAGGAAUACAUCGGAAUCUACUUUUUCGUGGGGGAUAACGUAGGGAAACUUACGCUAAUACCGCAUACGACCUACGGGUGAAAGCAGGGGAUCUUCGGACCUUGCGCGAUUGAAUGAGCCGAUGUCGGAUUAGCUAGUUGGCGGGGUAAAGGCCCACCAAGGCGACGAUCCGUAGCUGGUCUGAGAGGAUGGACAGCCACACUGGAAGUGAGAAACGGUCCAGACACCUACAGGAGGCAGCAGUGGGGAAUAUUAGGCAAUGGGCGCAAGCCGGAUCCAGCCAUACCGCGUGGGGGAAGAAGGCCUUCUGGUGGGAAAGCCCUGUAGUUGGGAAAGAAGAGCAGCAGGUUAAUACCCCGCGGUACUGACGGUACCCAAAGAAUAAGCACCGGCUAACUUCGUG